rnacentral:lncRNA from 1 species
AUUGAGUUACUGAAGAAGCUGUGUGUUGAUGUACUCAUAACUAAAACUUCAAACUGCACUUUUGUAGUUUAGAAAUCCUAGUUUCUUCAUGAUGAUUCCUGCAGAAGAAUUAAAUUGGAAUUGUUCAAUAAGAAACACAUCAUUUGGUGCAGAUAAAUAGAAGAUUGAAACGAAAUAGACCGUAACGGUAUUGCAUUUCAGUCUGUUAUGUGGAGACCAAAAGGUUCUUGAGUGUAUAAUUGUAAUUUUAGUGCUUGUACUGAACAUCUGUUUAACUCUGUAAGCAAGUAUAUUUAGCCAUUGCUUAUCUCUCUCGUUUUUCCCAAAAAGAUAACAAUGGUGGUAAUAAAGUAUGGACUCAAAAAAUCAAGAACAUUAUGUGAACCUGAAGAAAGGGGAACUAAAAGCAGACUCAAGUUUUUCUUUUCUGACGAAAGUCUCUUCAUAUGUAAACUAUAAAACCCUGUAAACUAGUAGUAAUAGGAUCAGUGAAAUUCGUGUUUAUAUUAAAUGUCAACUUCACUUCUCGUUCAGUCUUACCUACAGCAAUAACCCAUAAUGUAUUAUUUAGUCUGGUCUUUUUGUGGGUUAUUUUUAGUAUUUAGGGCCUCUUUGAAUGCACUAGAGUUAAUAAUUAACUGCUAAAAUUAGUUAAAGAAAUCUAAACAUUCUAGUUAAUGGUUCAGAUAUUAGCUACUUUUUUAAAAAAAAAAACUCGUCCAGUAGGGGAAAGAUAUUAGUUACUUUUAACAAAUUAGCUAAUAGUUGACUAGCUAUUUGUUAGCCAGCUAAUUCCACUAACAAAUUUUUAGCCAACUAAGUAUUAGCUCUAGUGCAUUCAAACAAUCCAUUAAACACUCUAUCAGAGCAAGCCGUAUAUCACCCAGGAUAAGCUGUUUUGAUUGUUUCUUAUUGAAAAGUCACCCAACUAAGUUACAGAUUUUGAGGGAGGGAGUCUCGUUUCACAGCAGGUCAUAUGCUGAACAGCGCAUAAGCAGCUUCUCCAUGCUAAGCAGGGUCGACCACAAUAAGACGCAGGCAAUGAUAGACAUCUAGUUGUCAGACACUGAAGUUCAUACCCUGUUUGGCACACCUAUUUCAUAGCUUCUUUAUAAAUUUAAACAGAAGUUAUACCAAAUAAAAACACUUCUGAUGAACUAAGGGCAAAUAAUAAGCAAGCUGCUUUUCACGAGCUUCUCAGCUGCUUUUCCAACAAACUGCAAACAGCAGUUGUACCAAACAGGACAUGUCAAUGUGCCAUACUAUAUACGUGUCUGAUGAAGUAUAUUGUCGAGCAUGUGUUGGGCGUAGCCGAUGUCAAACUAGCACCAACACAGCAUCAUUGGACAGCAAUGCCACCGUAAGAGUGAAGCUACCUCCAGCAGCUCUUCUAUCAUAUUUCCUAUCUCACCUCUUAUUUCAAAAUGCUAUCUACAGUAUUUUGCGAGAAAUUUGCUGUUUUGCCACUCUCAAAUUUGACUGUCUGUUAUUAUGCCAUCCCGUGUCUAUGACUGGUAGGACCGUCUGUGUCUAUGAUUUGUGGGUCCGAUAGCAUACUGACGAAGCCCACAAAUGAUAAUGGCAAAAUUGCCAAUGGCUCGUAUUUUGCACCUGCUGCUAGACAGCCUGAGGUCGCGCGUUACCUGGUGGAGCGGAAAUCUCGUUAGGGCAUCGGGGCUGGAGACUGCGUUGCUUGGACGCGAGAGGGCUCCCCCUACCCGCCACCCGGCGGCGUCCAUCGCCGGAAGCCAAGGCGGGCGAUUCGCCGCGCAGAAAUGGAACUUCUUCUGAUCUUCUCCAAUUGAUUGAAAUGGGCCGUAACCGACAGGCGAUGGGCCCAUCUGUAGCAGUAGUGUGCAUGCCACGGUUGCCACCCAACCCGAAAACCGGAAGGCAGGUGUCGCAGGUCCGCCCG